ACCAAUUUCUUACCAUUAGCAUC
rnacentral:miRNA from 1 species